rnacentral:misc_RNA from 1 species
GAUGAAGAACGCAGCGAAAUGCGAUAAGUAAUGUGAAUUGCAGAAUUCAGUGAAUCAUCGAAUCUUUGAACGCACAUUGCGCCCCUUGGUAUUCCGAGGGGCAUGCCUGUUCGAGCGUCAUUAUAACCCCUCAAGCUCAGCUUGGUGUUGGGGCCUGCUGCACUGGCAGCCCUUAAAAUCAGUGGCGGCGCCAUCUGGCUCUAAGCGUAGUAAUUCUUCUCGCUAUGGAGUCCUGGUGGAUGCUUGCCAUCAACCCCCAAUUUUUCUAUGGUUGACCUCGGAUCAGGUAGGGAUACCCGCUGAACUUAUGCAUAUCAAUAAGCGGAGGA